CAGAACCCAUUAGUGAGCUACAUUUUGUUCAAAACUGAGAUACUGGCAGGCAGAAUAACCCGCCGUGUGCCGGAACGCAUUCAGCUGUAGCGGUGACUAAUAAUGCAGCCGGAGAUCUGUUCAAAUUUUCCCCCUUUGGUGCCUAUUUUCAUAAGCUAAUAACUGAAGCAUGAAAAUUGUUUCAGGCUGAAAACUGGCGACAAGAACGUGGGGAGCAGGAGGGGAAGGGGCCCCACAGACCUGCAACCCACAGCAUCUUUCUGGAGCUCUCUAGGAGACUGGCUGGUCAGACAGCAGGUGUCAUCGUCUCACGGACAGGGGCAGCUCACGUCCAGCAAGACAGACCACCACAUUCAGGAUGGACCCCUUGAGCCUCGGCACAGGUCUGCUGAACUCCUGCACGUUCUCCGACAGCUUGGUUCUGAGAGCAGAUCCCGCUUACGCUCCUCUGUGGAUAUCAUCUGGCCACACUUGCUGUGCCACCAUCUGAAGGGACAAGCUGCUUCCUAGGAGACAAGGUACAUUGAGAGAGGAGGCCAUGUCCCAGGGGCCCUGCCACAAGCCAGACACAGGUACAGCUCCAGUGGGGGACCCAGGAGCCAACAGCCUAAAGGCAGCAGGCUUCCCAGAACUCACAGGCGGGACAGGAACAUUCCAGAAUCUGACCAACAGGUGUGGACAGAGUCCCACGGGGAAAUGCGGCCCUCGACCUGGAUUCUGUCCCUGUCUGGUGCUGAGGGUUAUUCCACCAGAUGGCCAUGAGGGAACCCCCCUUGUGGAGGACGCUGGACGAGGGAACACUGCAAACUGCCUGGACGACUUCUUUCCUCCCCACUGUGAGCAGGCACCCGGAGAUCCCUGGUCCCACCUUCCAUCUGUAGGUCCCUGGACCUCUCUGGAACUCCACUUCCUCUCUCGCAGCAGGAGUGCGUGGGCUGGACUCUCUUUGUGACGGACGACACUCAAGCCUGCCCUGUGGCAUCAUCUGGGGAAGGUCUGGCGAGCACACACCCCUCUGGGACAACUGCAUCCCAAUGUGGAGCGAGGCCGGGUGGUUCCCUUGCACUGGGCGGGGGCGGAUCCCGGGCUGGAUGGCUCCUGUGGCCAGUCUCAGCCCUGACGUCUGUGAAAACCCAGACGCCGUCACCACCCCCUGCCCUUCCCGUCACUGUCGGGCUUGCUGCUGAUUCUUCUCCUGACCCAAGGACUAAUGUGGUUAAACCCGGAACCCCCCCAGAAUGGGAAACUGGACUUAAUUUCUCUCAAGGGCCCAAAUGCUGAGUCACAGGCUCCACCAGGACUGGCCUUUGGCCCCCGACGGCAGCAGCAGGGGCUGGCUCCGGGGCUGUGGGCCUCCAGGACAAGAGUGGCUAGGACCUAAGGGCGUCUGAAGGCCUCACAAGAGACAGACAGGGCAACACUUGGUGUCUAGGCGUUUGUAAAAGGGAGAGCUCCUGGCAGCCAGUUAUUUCUCUGUGACACUGCAUUUGUCUUGGUUUUCUGGUUAGAGACGGUGAUUUGCACACAGGCAUGCGAUGGGUCCCUCCGUCCCCUCCGCUGGUCGGGAAGCAGGGCGUCUGCUAGCUCUGGGGUCGCCUUGCGUUGUUGGGAACAGAAAGCCACUCUCUCUGGUUUCUCCCUCUUUUUUUCCUGGUCUCGUUGCUGCCCCUGUCCCUCCAUUUCCUGGGUCUGGCCUGUUGACCUUCCUCUUCACACGGGAGUGUUUAUUGCAUGCUUUCUUCUGGCCCAGAGUUGGCUGGGUCUAGAUCAAAUGGAAAUAACGGGAUAACGUCUGUUUUAGCCCGAGAGAGACUGAAACCAAGACAGAUGCCCGAUGUUGUGCUGAUGACCCCUCAGAGCCGCAGGCACCAGGAAGCCCGGCCCAGACUCACGGGGACCAGGCCUCUCAAUCAGUGGCAGGUGCAGCCUCGAACAGAGCAGGGAUGUGCUGGUUCCAACCUUCUCCAGGCCCGUGGGUCUCAGAUUGCGGUACCUGGACUGAGAGCACCGGCGUCAACCUGAGAACUUGCUAGAAAUGCUGUUCUCCGGGUCCCACCCAGACCUGUGGAAUGGGACAGUCUGGGGUUGGGACCCAGAAGUCUGUCUUAACAAGCUCCAGGGCUUGGGUGGGCUGAAGUUUGGGAAUCACUGCGUCUGCUGCAUAGAUGCUGUGCAUGCUGUCGCUGAGGUUGAGGGACGGCUGCAGAUGGACUUGGGGCCCCUAGAUGUCUGAGGGUGGCUUAGUAGGAGGCUAAGGUGAGUCAGAGGCCGGGAGGGCCAAGGAGAAGGAGAGGUAGGGUGUUCACCCCAGGAGGGGCUGCCACGGGCCUUUAAGGGCCUGCGUGGGUAGCAGGCAGCCUGGUGCCUCGGAGGCUGAACUGAGGGACGGGAAACAGGGAGGACUCAAUUCAAAGAUGCACCCUCCUUCACAGCGUGGUGGUUACACUGUUCAAAUGAAAUGACUCAGCAAGUUUCUAUAGCAAAUCCUGUUCAUCCACUGUUUCUCAUAGCCAAUAAAAUCGGUUUUUGAAAUAA